rnacentral:rRNA from 1 species
UACGUAGGGGGCAAGCGUUAUCCGGAAUUACUGGGCGUAAAGCGCACGCAGGCGGUUCGCCAAGUUUGGAGUGACAGUUGUCGGCUCAACCGACAAAGGACUUCAAAAACUGGUGAACUUGAGGACGAGAGAGGAACAUGGAACUCCAGGUGUAGUAGAGAAAUGCGUAGAUAUCUGGAAGAACACCAAUGGCGAAGGCAAUGUUCUGGCUCGUUUCUGACGCUCAGGUGCGAAAGCCAGGGGAGCGAACGGG